rnacentral:rRNA from 1 species
CCUACGUUGUGCAGCAGUGCGGAAUAUUGGUCAAUGGACGAGAGUCUGACCCAGCCAUGUAUCGUGAAGGAUGACUGCCCUAUGGGUUGUAAAUUUCUUUUAUAUGGGAAUAAAACGUUCAACGUGUGGGAUUUUGUAUGUACCAUAUGACUAAGGAUCGGCUAACUCCGUGCCAGCCGCCGCGGUAAUACGGAGGAUGCGAGCGUUAUCCGGAUUUAUUGGGUUUAAAGGGAGCGUAGGUGGAUUGUUAAGUCAGUUGUGAAAGUUUGCGGCUCAACCGUAAAAUUGCAGUUGAAACUGGCAUGCGUGAGUAUAGUAGAGGUGGGUGGAAUUCGUGGUGUAGCGGUGAAAUGCUUAGAUAUCACGAAGAAUACCGAUUGCGAAGGCAGCUCACUGGACUGCAACUGACACUGAGGCUCGAAAGUGUGGGUAGCAAACAGGAUUAGAUACCCGAGUAGUC